AGAGUUUGAUCCUGGCUCAGGAUGAACGCUGGCGGCGUGCUUAACACAUGCAAGUCGAACGGAGUUUAUACGGAAGGAGUCUUCGGACAACGGAAGUAUAAACUUAGUGGCGGACGGGUGAGUAACGCGUGGGUAACCUGCCUUAUACAAGGGGAUAACAGAGGGAAACUUCUGCUAAUACCGUAUAAAAAUAUUUCACGCAUGUGAGAUAUUUGAAAGAUUUAUCAGUAUGAGAUGGACCCGCGUCUGAUUAGGUAGUUGGUGAGGUAGAGGCUCACCAAGCCGACGAUCGGUAGCCGAUCUGAGAGGAUGACCGGCCACAUUGGGACUGAGACACGGCCCAAACUCCUACGGGAGGCAGCAGUGGGGAAUAUUGGACAAUGGGGGCAACCCUGAUCCAGCGACGCCGCGUGAGUGAAGAAGUAUUUCGGUAUGUAAAGCUCUAUCAGCAGGGAAGAAAAUGACGGUACCUGACUAAGAAGCCCCGGCUAACUACGUGCCAGCAGCCGCGGUAAUACGUAGGGGGCAAGCGUUAUCCGGAUUUACUGGGCGUAAAGGGUGCGUAGGUGGUCCUUCAAGUCGGUGGUUAAAGGCUACGGCUCAACCGUAGUAAGCCGCCGAAACUGGAGGACUUGAGUGCAGGAGAGGAAAGUGGAAUUCCCAGUGUAGCGGUGAAAUGCGUAGAUAUUGGGAGGAACACCAGUAGCGAAGGCGGCUUUCUGGACUGCAACUGACACUGAGGCACGAAAGCGUGGGUAGCAAACAGGAUUAGAUACCCUGGUAGUCCACGCUGUAAACGAUGAGUACUAGGUGUCGGGGGUUACCCCCCUCGGUGCCGCAGCUAACGCAUUAAGUACUCCGCCUGGGGAGUACGCACGCAAGUGUGAAACUCAAAGGAAUUGACGGGGACCCGCACAAGCAGCGGAGCAUGUGGUUUAAUUCGAAGCAACGCGAAGAACCUUACCAAGGCUUGACAUAUAGUUGAGUUAUUGAGAAAUUGAUAAGUCCCUCGGGACAACUAUACAGGUGGUGCAUGGUUGUCGUCAGCUCGUGUCGUGAGAUGUUGGGUUAAGUCCC
rnacentral:rRNA from 1 species